rnacentral:rRNA from 1 species
UACAGAGGGUGCAAGCGUUAAUCGGAAUUAUUGGGCGUAAAGGGUGUGUAGGUGGUUAGGUAAGUUAGAUGUGAAAUCCCCGGGCUUAACCUGGGAACUGCGUUUAAAACUGCUUAGCUAGAGUAUUGCAGAGGAUAGUGGAAUUUCCAGUGUAGCGGUGAAAUGCGUAGAUAUUGGAAGGAACACCAGUGGCGAAGGCGACUAUCUGGGCAAAUACUGACACUGAGACACGAAAGCAUGGGGAGCAAACAGG